rnacentral:rRNA from 1 species
CGAACGCUGUCGGCGUGCGUAACACAUGCAAGUCGAACGGAAAGGCCCUGCUUUUGUGGGGUGCUCGAGUGGCGAACGGGGGAGUAACACGUGAGUAACCUGCCCUUUACUUUGUGAUAACUUCAGGAAACUGUGGCUAAUACCGGAUAGGAGCUCCUGCUGCAUGGUGGGGGGUGUAAAGUUUCGGCGGUUGGGGAUGGACUCGCGGCGUAUCAGCUUGUUGGUGGGGUAGUGGCUUACCAAGGCUUUGACGGGUAGCCGGCCUGAGAGGGUGACCGGCCACAUUGGGACUGAGAUACGGCCCAGACUCCUACGGGAGGCAGCAGUGGGGAAUAUUGCACAAUGGGCGGAAGCCUGAUGCAGCAACGCCGCGUGCGGGAUGACGGCCUUCGGGUUGUAAACCGCUUUCGCCUGUGACGAAGCGUGAGUGACGGUAAUGGGUAAAGAAGCACCGGCUAACUACGUG